rnacentral:lncRNA from 1 species
CCUACACCACAGCUCACGGCAACGCCGGAUCGUUAACCCACUGAGCAAGGGCAGGGACCGAACCCGCAACCUCAUGGUUCCUAGUCGGAUUCGUUAACCACUGCGCCACGACGGGAACUCCGAUUUCUCUUCUUGUCUCAUGUUGUGAAAUUGUUAACUAAAUCUUUAUUUUAUUCUUUGUAUAGCUUUAUGAAACUCAUGUUAACAGGAGGAAGGCAGAAGAUUGUUACUGCUAACAAAUAGAAAUUGUUCCUGCUAAUGAAAAUUAUGGGAUUGCUGUGAUAAUGAAUUGUCUAUUAUAAAUGUUGAGGUUUCUUCAUACUCUAGAUGUUAAUGUAAUUAGCUGUGUCCUAGCAAUAUUUUAUAUUGUUCAAAAGAUAAAACUACUCUGAAUAUUAAGCAUAAAUUGGACCUACAUUAGACUACUUCUGUUGUUACCAUUUAGUAAUCAUUUUCUUUUUAUAAUGAUGGAUCUUUGUAUAAGAAAAAAUAUUUUUGAAAGGCUAUUACUUGUAUCUGACAUCACCUCUAAAUUCUUCCUACUUUUUGAGCAAGGUUGAUAAAGCCAUAUAGACGUAAUAAUGAAAAUAAAUGGUCCUAAGCACACUGACAGUGGAAUUCUAACAGAAGAACAUAUGAAUGGAUGAUACCAGAUAAAUGCUAUAGCUGUCAGACAGCUCAUGGUUGUCUUUUAGUUUUAGGUGCUGUUGGUUCCUUCCUGGAGACUUCUUUGAAUUUUGCGUGUUCUCCAAAGGGUUUAUACAUUGGCACAUCAAUUGAACAGAUAUUUUUUCAAUACUAUUUAUAUUGUUUGGCAAAGUGUUGGAAUUAAGAUGUAUUAUUAUUUUUCAGCUUUAUUGAGAUAUAAUUGAAAAAUAAACUUGUAAGAUAUUUAAAGUGUACAUGAUGGUGAUUUGAUAUACAUAUACAUUGUAAAAGGAUUUCCCACCUAGUUAAUUAAUGUAUCCAUCACCUCACAUUUAUUAUUAUUAUUAUUAUUAUUAUUAAUGUCUUUUUAGGGCCACACUCAUGGCUAUGGAAGUUCACAGGCUAGGUGUUGAAUCAGAGCUACAGCUGCCAGCCUAUGCCACAGCCACAGAAACAUGGGAUCCAAGCCACGUUUGCAACCUACACUACAGGUCACAGCAACAUUGGAUCCUCAACCCACUGAGCAAGGCCAGAGCAUCCUCAUGUAUACUAGCAGGGUUCAUUACUGCUGAGCCAUGACAGGAACUCCUAUUUUUUUAUUUUUUUUUAUUUUUGACUAGAACACUUGAGUUCUUCUCUCUUAGCAAAUUUUAAUUAUAUAACACUGCAUUAUUGACUAUAGUCACUAUGUUCUACAUUAACUCCUCAGAUCUUAUUCAUCUUAUAGCUAAAAGUUUGUACCCCUUUAAGCAAUCUCUCCUUAUUUCUCCCAGACCCUGGUAAAGUUCCUUGAAUGAUUUUGUUAAUUAUUUCAUUUUUAUAGCUUUCUCUGUUCUCUUUUUCUUGAACUACUUUUAUUCAUAUAUCAAAUCUUUAGCUAAUCUUCUAGUAUUUUUCUGUCAUUUUCCUUCUUUCUUAUUCCUUAAUCUGUUUUUUUACAGUAUUUCUUCAGUUUUAUCAUCCAGGCCUUCUGUUUAGUAUUUUCGUUUCUGUCUUAUUUAUUUAUUUACUUUAAUAAGAUCUUUGUUCUCUGAUUAGUCUCUUUUUUCAGCAUCCUGUUCUCCCCCCCUCCCCCUUUUUAGCCACAUCUGUAGCAUGUGGAAGUUCCUGGGACAGGGAUCGAUCUGAGCCUUAGCUAUGACCUUUGCGAAAGCUGUGACAAUGCCCAAUCCUUAACCUGCUGUGCAACAGCAGAAACUCCUUAGCAUCCUAUUCUUGUUUCAUAAAUAUAGCAUUUUCUAAUUUCUCAAAGGAUAGUUUUGAAAUUUUCUUCUUCAGAGUGUUUCUUCCAAGACAUCACCACAGGAUUAGUGGCUGAUCUGUUUCCAUGGGAGGAACUCCUAAUGUCAGUCUCCUUAGAUCUCUUCUCUUGGGCUUGCGAAAUUCUGUAGUGAAGACUCUCUCAAUUUCUGACUUGAGAAGUAUUUUUCUGACUGCCAGUGCUCUUAAAGUUAAGUAGGAGAAGGAGGUUAGAGAAGAAUCUCAACAUUUAUCAAGUAAACUUUCAAGUAAUUUUCAUUUCAUGCAGCAUCCUACAUUUAACUACUCUUGGUGUCCCUUAUAUCAGAGACUCAAUGUUUCAACCUCUCCAGAGGAUGUAUUUGUGCCAUCUUUUGCUCAGCCAGGGGAUCAGUUAUUGCAUAAUUUGAAAAUAGGUAUCUGAGCAGGGGUUGUGUGUCUAACUCUUUUUUAAACUUUUCAUUAUGAAAAUUUCAAGCAUAUGCAAGAGGAGAGAGAACGGUUCCCAUGAACAGUUAAUAACUCAUGGCCAAUUGUUUUUAUUUGUUAUUUUGAAGCAGUCAUAGACAUCAUUAUUUCAUUCAUAACUAUUUCUAUGUGUACCUCUAAAAAAUUUUUUUUAAAAAACAAGAAAAAUAGUUGCAACAUUUCACAACAUUAUCAUCAUACCUAAAUAUAAAAAACAGUAAUUUCUCUUCACAGAUAGUUUAAUAAAUGUUCAGAAUUCCCUCAGUGUUUCAGUAAUGGUUCCUAUUUCCAUUCCACAGUGGUUUGUUUGACUCAUGGUCUAAGUUAAGAUUCAUAUAUUGCUUGCUGUAUCUCUUAAGUCUCUUAAUUUCUCACUCACUCUCUCUCUUCUCUUGUAUAUGCCUUUGCUCUCCAUCAUUUUCUGGCUUUCUUACUGCCUUUUUUCUUGCCUCUUGCAAAUACUUGUUGAAGAAACAGUCAAUUGUCUUAUAGUUUGUUGAAGAAACAGUCAAUUGUCAUGUAGUUUUCAGUCUGGACUUUGCUGAUUUGUAUCCUUGUGAUGUAUUUAACAUUUUAUGGUGUCUUUUCUGUUUUGUAAAAACUGAUAGUUGGAUUUAGAUACUUAUUCAGAUUUACUAUUGCAAUUUUGGGGGAGGGGAGACUACUUCAGAAGUGUUGUUGCAUACUUCUAUCAUGAGGAACUAAUGCCUUGCUUUCUCUUUUUGUGUUAGCAGUUAUUAAUGAUCAUUGCCUAGAUCCUUAAAUUAAUUUGAGGUUGUAAAAUGAAAAUAAAUAAUGUUAUUCCAUAUUCAUUUAUUAGCAAGACAACUCUUUUAAAGCAGUCUUCUACUUGUCAGCUAUUUGGUUACCUACUGGUGAUGUUGUUCCUAUAUAAAGAUAGGAUGAAUAUUUCUUUCUUAUAUUUUCCUAUUUUCAUAGUUAUGAAUUGGUUCUUUCAUGCUCUGCAAAGGAGACCAGUCAUUUUUUUUUUUUCCCUUUUUUUGCUUUUUAGGGCCACACCUGUGACACAUGGAAGUUCCCAGGCUAGUGGUCAAAUUGGAGCUGUAGCCACUGGCCUAUGCCAGAGCCACAGCAAUAUGGGAUCUGAGCUACAUCUGCAACCUACAUCACAACUCACAGCAAUGUUGGAUCCUUGACCCACUGAGAGAGGCCAGGGAUUAAACCUGCAUCCUUGUGGAUACUAGUCAGGUUCAUAUCUGCUGCGCCACUAGGGGAACUCCACUAACUAUUUGUGUUUAAUCUGUUAUCUUUAACUAGAAGCUACCCAGUAACUUCUUAGGAGCAACAGUUUGGCUAUUUUGAGUUUACCCUCUUCAAGGCAUUUACGUAUUAGGAUACUUUCUUCAAUCAAUAAAGUGCUCUCCUUAAGAGAAACUCUUAAACAUAUCUUUUAUCACUUACCUUCAAUAAGAAGAGAGGCAAAGAGAUAGGAGGGAGAGAAGCAAGAGGGCAGGAAGAAAUGACAAGGCUGAGGAUUUCAUCAAUCAUUCCAAGUUUGACAAUUAUAUUGCCCAUGUCUUAUUGACUAAAAGCAGUUUAACCUACUACAUAGACUUAUGUUUUAAGCAAAAAGGCAUUACUAGUGAUAUCAGAAGGAGUUUCUUUUAAGUGCACAGUAUGUAAUGGUGAUUUUUAUUUGACUUCUAGCUAUUGUGGUGUGUCAAACAUUUUCUUCUCUGAUUAGAGAAACAUCAAGUUAGGGGGUAAAUUACUUGGAAGAGUAGAGCCCUGGAUAACUGCUCCAUUUACUCAAUUGAUAAGGAAGCCUAAUAUCUUUGAAACAAUGAAUGCCUGAGGCUGUUGUCACACCCACAUUUCUCUGAGACCAUCUUAUGGUUCUCCAGUAAAAUCUAGCAGUGGAAUUAUCAUAUAAACUUUGAAUCGCAUUCAGUUCAGCAUUUCUUUGUUUAUAUUGCUAGUGGAGGUGGUAUUUGAAGAACCGAAAUAAUUGUAUGUGGUAUCCCUUAGUGCUGUUCAUUAGUAUUUCUGGUUCACCACAGUCUGGGCAUGUUCUAGGCUUGUACUUCCCUACUCUCUUGACCUUAGGUUAGGCAUGGCCAUAUGACUUGUUCUCACCAAGUGAAUGCCAAGGGUUCAGCUCAUAAUUUGCCAUUUGCCAUGUUCUCCUCUAUCUUGGCUCUGUCUUGUUCCAUAUCGAUAGAAGCUCUUGCAGCUUGUAUUUCUCCAUGAAGACUGUAAAGAGCGGAGCAGCAAACAUGCAGGGAGGGCAAGAUAAAAAACCCUUGUUACUUAAAGCCCCAGUGAUUUGGGGGUUGUGUUGCUGUGAUGUAACUUAGUCUUUCUUUACUAACCACACUGUAAUGUAUACUUAGUUACUCAAAAAAAAAAAAAAAAAA